UUUCCGGUUGAUCCUUGCCGGACCUUGACUGCUAUUCGGAUUGAUACUAAGCCAUUGCGAGUCUUUUGUAGGUAAUACAAGGGCAGACUGGCUCAGUAACAUCGUUAGUUCAAUUCUAACCUAUGGACUGGGGAUAACCUCGGGAAAGCUGAGAAUAAUACCCGAUAGAUCAUUAUGUCCUGGUAAUGGUUUUAUGGUCGAAAUUGAUUUAUCGCUCGUAGAGUGGGACUUGCGUUCUAUCAGCUGUGUUUGGUGAGGUUAAUGGCCCACCAAUGGCUAUAACAGUAUUACGGUGCUCUGAGAGGAGGAAGCCCUGGAGAUGGGUACUUGAGACACUGGACCCAGUGCCCUAUGUGGGCGCAGUCAGUGCGAGUAAAACUUUUGCAAUUGUUGCGAAAGUCACGACAAUGGUUAAUCGCGAGUUGUUUUUCUGCUAUAUAGAAAUCUUUUGGUCUAGUCCUAUAAAACACUGUAUGAAUAGUAGUGGGUGGUGCAAGUUUCUGGUGUUCAGCUCGCCGUCGGUGAAAACCUAGCACCUUCAAGUUGGUCAUGGAGGAUUCAUUUGGGCCUAGAAGCAUUCCGUUAGGCCUGGCUUCUGUAAGUUUACGGUUAAAUCUAUAUGCUCUAACAUAUAGGCUGCGCGGGAAUACUG
rnacentral:rRNA from 1 species